CACCAGACUCCUACGGGAGGCAGCAGUGGGGGAUAUUGCACAAUGGGGGAAACCCUGAUGCAGCGACGCCGCGUGAGUGAAGAAGUAUUUCGGUAUGUAAAGCUCUAUCAGCAGGGACGAAAAUGACGGUACCUGAGUAAGAAGCCCCGGCUAACUACGUGCCAGCGGCCGCGGUAAUACGUAGGGGGCAAGCGUUAUCCGGAAUUACUGGGUGUAAAGGGAGCGUAGACGGUGAAGUAAGUCUGGGGUGAAAGGCGGGGGCCCAACCCCCGGACUGCUCUGGAAACUAUUUGACUGGAGUGCAGGAGAGGUAAGCGGAAUUCCUAGUGUAGCGGUGAAAUGCGUAGAUAUUAGGAGGAACACCAGUGGCGAAGGCGGCUUACUGGACUGUAACUGACGUUGAGGCUCGAAAGCGUGGGGAGCAAACAGGAUUAGAUACCCGCGUACG
rnacentral:rRNA from 1 species